rnacentral:sRNA from 1 species
GGAGCUCGAGGCUAUGAGCAGAUAUACCAGCCCAGUGAACCCAGCUGUCUUCCCCCAUCUGACUGUGGUGCUUUUGGCCAUCGGCAUGUUCUUCACCGCCUGGUUCUUCGUUUACGAGGUCACCUCUACCAAGUACACUCGUGAUAUCUAUAAAGAGCUCCUCAUCUCCUUGGUGGCCUCACUCUUCAUGGGCUUUGGAGUCCUCUUCCUUCUGCUCUGGGUCGGCAUCUACGUGUGAUCACCCAAGGCUCCUGUGCCUGUCUCCAAGCAACACCUUCACCUGGGCUGUCCCACCUACCUGAAUGGCCCUCCCCACUCCCUGCCAGAGCUCUCGUCUCCUAAGCCUGAAGGCUGCAGCCCCGGGAUCUGCCCCCUCGGAUGACUGGUGUCUCAGUUGUCAGCACUUUACUAUUCAGCUGGGGUGGAGACCUAUUACACGCCUCCUUGGCGCCCAGACUCAGGACAGCUUCAGAUAGAAGCAGUCGAGGGGCUUGAGGCCCUCGGGCGUCUUGACGUACUUGGGCUCGCCCAGCAUGCCGAUGUACACCGUCACCUGGAAGUGGUUCUUCUUCUGGCACACAAAGGCGUCAUCGCCCACCGAAAAGUUGAAGCCCUUGUCCGCGUCCACGCGGUAGGUUUCACUUUUAUCAGUGUUCAGGAAAAAGAACAAACUCAGCCCAAGAGGUCAACACGUCCUGCGUGAACCCUGUGCUCACCCAGCAAGUGGAAGGCUGUGGCCAUAUGGGAUCCAGCUCUUUGGCCAUCCCUGGUCCCCACAUCUGGAGCAACUCCCCAUUCCUGUGCCCAGGGAACUGCCAGAGAGGGCAUGGCCCUGUUGUGGACACAGCCCCGGGGCUGGCUCCAGAGUCCACCUGCAUCCCUGUGCCAGCCACCCACCCACCUUCGGG